rnacentral:rRNA from 1 species
CCCCUAGAUGUUCUGGGCCGCACGCGCGCUACACUGAACAGUUCAACAAGUCUUAACCUUGGCCGAUAGGUCUGGGUAAUCUUUGAACGCUGUUCGUGAUUGGGAUAGACCUUUGCAAUUAUGGGUCUUCAACGAGGAAUUCCUAGUAAACGCAAGUCAUCAGCUUGCAUUGAUUACGUCCCUGCCCUUUGUACACACCGCCCGUCGCACCUACCGAUUGAAUGGUCCGGUGAAAUCUCGGGACGGCGGCUUGGUUGCUUGCGUCCGACUGCUGAAACUUGAUUAAACCAUAUCAUUUAGAGGAAGGUGAANUCGUANCA